ACACGUCUACAUUAGAUACCCGUGUAGUCCCAGCCGUAAACUAUGCGCGUUAGGUGUAUCGGUGACCACGAGUUACCGAGGUGCCGAAGGGAAACCGUGAAACGUGCCGCCUGGGAAGUACGGUCGCAAGGCUGAAACUUGAAGGAAUUGGCGGGGAGCACCACAACGGGUGGAGCCUGCGGUUUAAUUGGACUCAACGCCGGGAAGCUCACCGGAUAAGACAGCGGAAUGAUUGCCGGGCUGAAGACUCUGCAUGACUAGCUG
rnacentral:rRNA from 1 species